rnacentral:rRNA from 1 species
GACGAACGCUGGCGGCGUGCUUAACACAUGCAAGUCGAACGGAAAGGCCCUGCUUGCCGGGUACUCGAGUGGCGAACGGGUGAGUAACACGUGGGUGGUCUGCCCUCCACUUCGGGAUAAGCCUGGGAAACUGGGUCUAAUACCGGAUAGGAGCCAUAUUUAGUGUGAUGGUUGGAAAGUUUUUUCGGUUUAGGAUGAGCUCGCGGCCUAUCAGCUUGUUGGUGGGGUAAUGGCCUACCAAGGCGGCUACGGGUAGCCGGCCUGAGAGGGUGACCGGCCACACUGAGACUGAGAGGCGGCCCAGACACCGACUGGAGGGAGAUGUGGGGAAUAUUGAACAAUGAGCGCAGGGCUGAUGAUGAGGCGCCGCGUGGGGGAUGACGCUGUUAGGGUUGUAAACUCCUUUCGCUAGGGACGAAGCUUGUUGUGACGGUACCUAGAGAAGAAGCACCGGCUAACUACGUG